AUACAGAGGGUGCAAGCGUUAUUCGGAAUUACUGGGCGUAAAGCGCGCGUAGGCGGAUGAUUAAGUCAGUUGUGAAAGCCCUGGGCUCAACCUAGGAACUGCAUCUGAUACUGGUCGGCUAGAGUUUAAGAGAGGGAAGUGGAAUUCCAGGUGUAGCAGUGAAAUGCGUAGAUAUCUGGAGGAACAUCAGUGGCGAAGGCGACUUCCUGGCUUAAAACUGACGCUGAGGUGCGAAAGCGUGGGUAGCGAACGGGAUUAGAUACCCUAGUAGUCC
rnacentral:rRNA from 1 species